rnacentral:rRNA from 1 species
UUCUAUGGCCAUGCCACGCUGAACAAGCCCUAUCCCAUUUGAUCUCAGAAGCUAAGCAGGGUUGGGCCUGGUUAGUACUUGGAUGGGAGACCACCUAGGAAGACCAGGUGCUGUAGUCA